rnacentral:rRNA from 1 species
AUUGAACGCUGGCGGCAGGCCUAACACAUGCAAGUCGAACGAGUGGCGGACGGGUGCGUAAUGUCUGGGAAACUGCCCGAUGGAGGGGGAUAACUACUGGAAACGGUAGCUACUACUGCAUAACAUCGGUUGUGCCCAGAUGGGAUUAGCUAUUAGGUGGGGUAACGACUCACCUAGGCGACGAGCCCUAGCUGGUCUGAGAGGAUGACCAGGCAAACUGGAGCUGAGACACGGUCCAGACUCCUACGGAAGGAAGCAGUGGGGAGUAUUGCGCAAUGGGCGAAAGCCUGAUGAAGCAAUGCCGCGUGUGUGAAGAAGGCCUGCGGAUUGUAAAGUACUUUCGGCGGGGAGGCGUUACUCGCAGAAGAAGCACCGGCUAACUCCGUGCCAGCCGCCGCGGUAAUAC